AGUUCACAUUUCUGAUCAUCUUGUGAGGUGGACGUAUCCCUGCAACCUGAGCUCUCUGAACUAAAGCUCCCACAUGGGCUCUGUACAGCAAAUGGAUAUGACUAAGGUUAAAUCUCAGGACUCCUCAGUCUACCUCAAGCCAUUCCUGAUUUACCUGGGGACGGUGGCACACGAAUGCUGUCUGUUCACCCUGUCUCACUCUGGAGCCCUUCCUGCGCACACAGUAUAACACCUCUUUGUCUGUUCACCAUCGGAAUGUUCAGCUGUCUUCAACACCUCAGGGAAACGAGAGGCUGGGUUGUGGAGGUGUGAAAGUCACUUUCUCUCGUCCCCAACAUGCGUUUGCACGGCGAUGGAACACCAGGAAGUCAGCUUCCAGUGCCACUCGCCCUCGCUCUGAUAGAGCUGGCAGUACAGGCCUCAGAGAUGUCUCAGUCAAGGACAAGUGCCACUGAGAACAGCAGCCACCACAGACACAACAAUGAAACCACCCGCCAUCAGGCACCAGCCAGGAAGAGAGAAAUGGAGAGUUUGUAAAGCAAUGAUGUUUACAGCUCACUUCCUGUGAAAUAAAGUUCUGCGAAAUGGUCACCUUGUUUGCUCUUUAUGGGGAACAGAAAAAGAAAAAUACGAGAAAAGCAACAGCAGCAGAGGAACUUCUGAAGAUCUUUCUGCUUCUGAGGUGACCUUGGUAAGACAAACCGUGAAGUACAGGGAAACAUAUUUCCUACUGGAAGUGGUAGCUGGACUGGCCUUGGCCCAAGGAACUUCUGAAUGGGUUUGGCAUUACAACUAUGAGUUGAAAUCAUUUGAGCAGAUACUUUUUCUCUUUUUUCA